rnacentral:rRNA from 1 species
GACGAACGCGGCGGCGUGCUUAACACAUGCAAGUCGAACGAAGAGAGAUGGAAGCUUGCUUCUAUGGAUCUUAGUGGCGAACGGGUGAGUAACGCGUAAUCAACCUGCCCUUCAGAGGGGGACAACAGUUGGAAACGACUGCUAAUACCGCAUACGAUCUAACUUGGCAUCGAGGUUAGAUGAAAGGUGGCCUCUAUUUAUAAGCCAUCACUGAAGGAGGGGAUUGCGUCUGAUUAGCUAGUUGGAGGGGUGACGGCCCACCAAGGCGAUGAUCAGUAGCCGGUCUGAGAGGAUGAACGGCCACAUUGGGACUGAGACACGGCCCAGACUCCUACGGGAGGCAGCAGUGGGGAAUCUUCCGCAAUGGACGAAAGUCUGACGGAGCAACGCCGCGUGAGUGAUGACGGCCUUCGGGUUGUAAAGCUCUGUUAAUCGGGACGAAUGGUUCUUGUGCGAAUA